ACAACAGCAACAUACAUCAAUUUACAUCAAUAUAAACAAUACUAAUACUAACACAAAUGUAUGGCUAAUUAUAUGGCUAAUUAGACAAAAAGUAUCAUAUCAUUUACAGGUAGAGGCGGUGCAUCCAGUUCUCAACAGCAGCCAGCUGGAGGUAGCGUUGGUGCACCUAGUCCACAAGGGCAGCCCGCAGAAGGAAUCUCCCCAGCUGCCUACGCCACUUUGCAGAGAGUUGUAUCAGGUUGGUGUACGGAAUUUGAAGGUGUCGAUAUGAUGAAGGUUUUACUUCGGCAAUUUAAGAAAAAAAUUGGUGAGGAUAGGCUAGAAAACACCAAUGACGUAAGGGAUUUUUUUGAAUUAAUGGAAAUGAUUGGUGAGGCGAACAGUUCAAAACAUGAAAUCAUUUUGGAGGCUGUUAAAAUCUGUGGUCUUGAAGGUGUAAGAUCAAAAAUUAGAUUAAUUAAGCCAACUUUUGAAAAUUUUAAGUUUGAAGAUGUAGAAAUCAGAACAUUUUCCCCUUACCGACAAAAUCUAAUAAAAUUUGGUAAAAGUUUGAGAAGGAGUGAUAUUGUGACUAUUGGUCACUUGGCUAAAAUACAUAAGAACAAACACAAACAUAAUCCGUGGCUACUAAUUGGUGCACUAGAAGAAAAUGGUAAUAUCAAAGCAAGUUCUGCAUCACAAGAUUUUAUCAACAUUUUAAGAUUAAAUGAAAUGGACAGAUACGCGGAUAUUAUUUUAAAUCUGGAUCAAUAACAAAUAUGGUUGAAAUCUGGACCAUGUAAAUAUAUGGUCAUUGUUAACAUUGGUAAUACACAGAUGUAGGCCCAUUACAUAGUGUAUUGUAUAAUAUUACAUAUGAAAAGUAAAUUAACAGAAAAUAUUUUGUGGCAAUUAUGAAUUUUUGAACAAAUUUAACCAGGGAAACAUUCUGAUAAUUAGUACGUAAACUAAUAUACAAAUAGGGAACGAUCCCACAAUUACCAACUUUUACUUUAAGUUAAAUUCAAAUAUAACAAACGAAAGUAAAAUGUAAAUACACAUAACAUGCUUUUAUUGUUUUCUAGAUCGCAACAGCAAAAACGCCCUUUUAAUAAAAGCUGGAAUUGCGAGGUACAUUGUUAAGCAUUAUUUAAAACUUACUGGCAUUGACAUGCAAUGGUUGACACAACUUAUUCCUCCAAGGUUAUGUAUGUUGCAACAAAGGUUCUAGAAACACAAGAAAGUGAAGCGAAUAAUCGUCAUGGCUUUAUACGCAUAUUCCGACGUACGCAGCGCGCUUCUCUUUCUGCUAAUUAUGGAAAUUAAUUGCUAAUUAGAAUCCAGCCGUACGCGGCACCCCAUUUUUUGCAUUUCCACCAUGCAUUUCGAUGCCACAGUUUCUUUUAUGUGGAGGCUCUCUUGUGUUUCUAGUAUCUUUGGUUACAACUAUUAUCUUACGAUAUUUAAUAAUACAGAAAUAAUGCUGGGAGAAAGGGUCAAGUAUUUAAAAUAGAAUAUAUUCAUACUCAUAAAUUAGGCAUUAAGCUAUUGUAUAUGCGGUGGCGUGAUAGUUACGUUUUACACAAAUAUUAAUGAAUCAUUAAUAAUUUUGUGCUAAAAAAUCAUAGAUAGGAUAGAACAAAAUUCGUUAUAAGUAUUUUAUAGGGCUAUACAUUAUUAUGAUUUCAUCAACAUGAAUUGUAAUAAAAAAUAUGAAAUACCAAGCAAACACAAAUGUCAGAAAAUGACGUUAAUUCAAGGCUGCAGCAACGUUGCGUUGUUACUUAACAUUAUGUUCUAAAUACACAUUUAUGAUUCUAUAAAAAAAAAAAAAACUGUUUUGUCCACUAAAUUUUCAUAACAUAAAAUUGUUGGCUGGGUAUGUCAAUUGUACUGAAAACUGCAAAUAUUGCAUAAUGUUCAUAACGCUAAUCUCAAAUUGGAACGAUAAGGUUAAAACUUUAAUAGGCCUAUUCACUGUUAGCCUAUAUUUUGCUUUUACUGUAUGCCUAUAUUGUUUUGUUUUAAAGUAGUUAACGUAUUUGGCUCAAGUUCAGCAGUUUUAAACAUAGAUUUAACAUUUACUUUGUGAUUUCAUAUACGCCUUAUAAUUAGAUUUCCUUAUUCUAGUCUUAGCUGUGAAAGUAGAAAGUAAGUGACGUGCAUAACAUUGGUUUUAGUCGGUAUUCUGCUAGCAAAGAUUUUUUUAAAACUAAGAUAUUGUAACGAUAAUUUGGUAUAUUUCGAUGUCAUCAAAUCCUUGUGUAGGCAUACUAAUGUCAGAUAAGUUAUAAAUAACCGUGACUAUAACAUCACUUUUGACGAAUUCGAUAUGUUUGUCAAUAAGAGAAGACGGCUAAAUACAUUUGUUAAGGUUGACGAUGCAUUAACAUUUUUAAUUUAUGAACUUUUGCAAUGGAUAUUCUGUUUUACUUAAAUUUAAAAAAAAUGUAAAAUACUGCCAUAAAUUGUAAACCAUGUGCUCUUAACAGCUUCUAAACAUCAUCAGAUAUAUUUAUUAGGAACAUGCAUAUUUGUAUAGGCCUAAUCAAGACAGUACAGAUGCUAAAAUGUCUUGAGAGUCAUAAUUUUGAGGCAAAAAAUUAAAAUGGAAGCCGCAAUG
rnacentral:lncRNA from 1 species